AGCAGCCGCGGUAAUUCCAGCUCCAAUAGCGUAUAUUAAAGUUGUUGCAGUUAAAAAGCUCGUAGUUGAAUUUCGGGAUCAGCGCGUCGGUCGUGCCUCCGGUAUGCACUGGCGCCGCUGGUUUCUCCCUUCUGAGGAACCGUGAUGUCAUUAAUUUGGUGUUGCGGGAAAUCAGGACUGUUACUUUGAAAAAUCAGAGUGUUUAAAGCGGGCACGCGCUUGAAUACAUUAGCAUGGAAUAACGAAAUAGGACGUUCGAUCUUAUUUUGUUGGUUUCUAGGAUUGACGUAAUGAUUAAUAGGGAUAGUUGGGGGCAUUAGUAUUCAAUUGUCAGAGGUGAAAUUCUUGGAUUUAUUGGAGACUAACUACUGCGAAAGCAUUUGCCAAGGAUGUUUUCAUUAAUCAAGAACGAAAGUUAGGGGAUCGAAGACGAUCAGAUACCGUCGUAGUCUUAACCAUAAACUAUGCCGACUAGGGAUCGGAUGAUGUUAAUUUUAAUGACUCAUUCGGCGCCUUACGG
rnacentral:rRNA from 1 species